rnacentral:rRNA from 1 species
ACUAGUGAUUUCCGUAGGUGAACCUGCGGAAGGAUCAUUGACACGAAUCCACAUUCAAACCUGCAUCGACUGUGAGCUGAUCUUCGGAUCGGAUCAUUGGCUUGUAGCGGCAUGCUGUAUAGUGUGUUGGCUGCUCGUCACGUCGAACCUUUUUCUAACCAUAUUUUUGAUAAAUCUUACAAACAUCUUACAACUUUUAGCAAUGGAUGUCUCGGCUUUAGCAACGAUGAAGGACGCCGCAAAAUGCGAUAGGCGCUGUGAAUGGCAGAAUUCCGCGAAUCAAGAGAAUGCUGAACGCAUACUGCGCUUUCAGGUCAGUCCUGGAAGUAUGUUUCGCUGAGGGCAUUUAUACUUUAAUGCAGUCAAUCAUGCAGAUUUCUGCUAGUUGACUUGCGUUCUUGUGCGACAGCGACGUUUAACCGUUGUCGCAUUAAAAUUAGUGUGAACACUUCCAAUCUUCCGUUUGGUGAUUAUUCAAUGAGCGGUAAAAUUGGUUGGUCAUACGUCAGAGCAACCGAAGGUUUCGACUUUCUGUUCUUGCAUCAGCUGAAACAAGGCUACCCGCUGAAUUUAAGCAUAUC